rnacentral:rRNA from 1 species
CAGCAGCCGCGGUAAUACGUAGGGUGCGAGCGUUAAUCGGAAUUACUGGGCGUAAAGCGUGCGCAGGCGGUUUAGUAAGUCUGAAGUUAAAGGCAUUGGCUCAACCAAUGUAUGCUUUGGAAACUGUUAGACUUGAGUGCAGAAGGGGAGAGUGGAAUUCCAUGUGUAGCGGUGAAAUGCGUAGAUAUAUGGAGGAACAUCGGUGGCGAAAGCGGCUCUCUGGUCUGUCACUGACGCUGAGGCUCGAAAGCGUGGGUAGCGAACAGGAUUAGAUACCCGAGUAGUCCCUGUCUCUUAUACA